GCUGAGGUUCAAACUGUAUGUGUGUAUUGGUCCAGUAUAGUUUGAUCCACAGCACAAAG
ensembl:miRNA gmo-mir-7133 gmo-mir-7133